rnacentral:rRNA from 1 species
UGAGCAAUCUGCCCUUCUCUUCGGAAUAAGCGUUGGAAACGACGUCUAAUGCCGAAUACGACCUCCUUUCGCAUGAUCGGAGGUGGAAAGCUCCGGCGGAGAAGGAUGAGCUCGCGGCCUAUCAGCUAGUUGGUGUGGGUAACGGCCCACCAAGGCGACGACGGGUAGUCGGCCUGAGAGGGCGACCGGCCACACUGGGACUGAGACACGGCCCAGACUCCGUACGGGAGGCAGCAGG